GGCGUCGGUAGUGCAGCGGUUUAGCACGCGCUUUCUGAAGGAGUGAGAUCUUGGUUUGAAUUCCAGCGGACGCCA